rnacentral:rRNA from 1 species
AUUGAACGCUGGCGGCGUGCUUAACACAUGCAAGUCGAUCGGUAACAGGUGUAGCAAUACAUGCUGACGAGAGGCGGACGGGUGAGGAAUAUUUGGGAAUCUGCCCAUCAGCGGGGGACAACCCGGGGAAACCCGGGCUAAUACCGCAUACGCUCUACGGAGGAAAGCCGGGGACCGCAAGGCCUGGCACUGAUGGAUGAGCCCAAAUCGGAUUAGCUAGUUGGCGGGGUAACGGCCCACCAAGGCGACGAUCCGUAGCUGGGCUGAGAGGAAGAUGAGCCACGCCGGAACUGAGACACGGUCCGGACUCCUACGGGAGGCAGGAGUGGGGAAUAUUGGACAAUGGGGGAAACCCUGAUCCAGCGACGCCGCGUGGGUGAAGAAGGCCUGCGGGUUGUAAAGCCCUUUCGGUAGGGACGAAAGCUCUUGCUCCAACAAAGCAGGAGGUUGACUUAACCUACAUAAGAAGCACCGGCUAACUCUGUGCCAGCCGCCGCCGUAACAC